CUUCAGUCUAUUUAAGAAAUAUCUUACCUGAAGUUCCACAUGUGCCAACUCACAUGGCCACCUAAACCUGUUGAGCCUUGUCUCUUCCCAUUCCUCUAAAUUCCCCUACCUACCUACUACUUGUUGAGCCUCAUCUCUUCUGAUUCCUUUAAAUGCACUCCAGACAGUAUCACACUACUUGACAUACUUGGAUGUCAUGCUGUUUCACAUACCAAUAAGCAGUUACUGAUUUCCUUUUGUUACUCAUAUAUCCUUCUGUUCUCUAAUUAUUAUUGUGAUUGACUAAUUGCACUAACAUGGGGGUGCAGAGAUACAUCCAUGCUAGUAUUAUGGUUGAUGCAAGGUAGAUACACAGUAGAUGGUGAUUGAACGAAUGAAUGAGAACGCUUUGAAAUCACGCAUUCGGACACACCAUCACUCCAAACCUCUCAUUUGAUAAAAUCUGCCCACUUUUUCACACAUUUAGCAUGUCUACUGGGCAUGGAGGCAUAAGCCUAUAGUCAUAGCUACUUGGGAGGCUGAAGCAGGAGGAUCCCUUGAGCCCAGGAGUUUAAGCCUGCAGUGAAUUAUGAUCCUACCACCGCAUUCCAGCCUGGAUGACAGAGCAAGACACUGUUUCUAAAAAUA
rnacentral:lncRNA from 1 species